rnacentral:rRNA from 1 species
CGUACACUCCUACGGGAGGCAGCAGUGGGGAAUAUUGCACAAUGGGCGCAAGCCUGAUGCAGCCAUGCCGCGUGUAUGAAGAAGGCCUUCGGGUUGUAAAGUACUUUCAGCGGGGAGGAAGGUGUUGAGGUUAAUAACCUCAGCAAUUGACGUUACCCGCAGAAGAAGCACCGGCUAACUCCGUGCCAGCAGCCGCGGUAAUACGGAGGGUGCAAGCGUUAAUCGGAAUUACUGGGCGUAAAGCGCACGCAGGCGGUCUGUCAAGUCGGAUGUGAAAUCCCCGGGCUCAACCUGGGAACUGCAUUCGAAACUGGCAGGCUAGAGUCUUGUAGAGGGGGGUAGAAUGCCAGGUGUAGCGGUGAAAUGCGUAGAGAUCUGGAGGAAUACCGGUGGCGAAGGCGGCCCCCUGGACAAAGACUGACGCUCAGGUGCGAAAGCGUGGGGAGCAAACAGGAUUAGAAACCCGUGUAGUCCCA